GACGAACGCUGGCGGCGUGCUUAACACAUGCAAGUCGAACGGAAGGGCCCUGCUUUUGUGGGGUGCUCGAGUGGCGAACGGGUGAGUAACACGUGAGUAACCUGCCCUUGACUUUGGGAUAACUUCAGGAAACUGGGGCUAAUACCGGAUAGGAGCUCCUGCUGCAUGGUGGGGGUUGGAAAGUUUCGGCGGUUGGGGAUGGACUCGCGGCUUAUCAGCUUGUUGGUGGGGUAGUGGCUUACCAAGGCUUUGACGGGUAGCCGGCCUGAGAGGGUGACCGGCCACAUUGGGACUGAGAUACGGCCCAGACUCCUACGGGAGGCAGCAGUGGGGAAUAUUGCACAAUGGGCGGAAGCCUGAUGCAGCAACGCCGCGUGCGGGAUGACGGCCUUCGGGUUGUAAACCGCUUUCGCCUGUGACGAAGCGUGAGUGACGGUAAUGGGUAAAGAAGCACCGGCGAACUACGU
rnacentral:rRNA from 1 species